AUGCUACAAUGAAGAAAAUUCAAUAAUGGCACAAAAGUCAGCGGGAACGAGGUGCAACUCCUCGACAGUCCCUUUCUACUGUAACACGGACGAACGCUCACCACUCACUGGGUAUAAGCUUGGGAAGAGGAGCAAGUAGGAGGAAGUGAAGUCAGGAUACCGCUGAUUUUUGGCACUGGGCAU
rnacentral:ncRNA from 2 species